rnacentral:rRNA from 1 species
UAGGGAAUCUUCCGCAAUGGACGCAAGUCUGACGGAGCAACGCCGCGUGAGUGAAGAAGGUUUUCGGAUCGUAAAGCUCUGUUGUUAAGGAAGAACGAGUGUGAGAAUGGAAAGUUCAUGCUGUGACGGUACUUAACCAGAAAGGGACGGCUAACUACGUGCCAGCAGCCGCGGUAAUACGUAGGUCCCGAGCGUUGUCCGGAUUUAUUGGGCGUAAAGCGAGCGCAGGCGGUUAGAUAAGUCUGAAGUGAAAGGCAGUGGCUCAACCAUUGUAGGCUUUGGAAACUGUUUAACUUGAGUGCAGAAGGGGAGAGUGGAAUUCCAUGUGUAGCGGUGAAAUGCGUAGAUAUAUGGAGGAACACCGGUGGCGAAAGCGGCUCUCUGGUCUGUAACUGACGCUGAGGCUCGAAAGCGUGGGGAGCGAACAGG